rnacentral:rRNA from 1 species
GAUAAACGCUGACAGAACUGGCGUUAACACAUGCGAAGUCAAUGAUGGGAAGCGUAAGCGUAAGACGUUAGAAGAAGUUCAUGGCGGACGGGUGAGUAACGUGUAAAGAACUUGCCCUCUAGACUGGGAUAACAGAUAGAAAUGUCUGAUAAUACCGGAUAUUAUUGUUACAUGGCAUCAUGUAGGAAUGAAAGGAUAAGAUUGCUAGAGGAGAGCUUUGCAUCCUAUUAGCUAGUUGGUAAGGUAGCGGCUUACCAAGGCGAUGAUAGGUAGCCGGCCUGAGAGGGUGGACGGCCACAAGGGGACUGAGAUACGGCCCUU